GGGGAAAAAUGUGCUUUUUUUUUUUUUUUUUGCAUUUCUAACUAGGGGCAGAACAGAUGGUGACGGUAAAGUUUAAAACAACACAUCCGUUAAACUCUGCCAGCCUCUCUCUGCAGCUUGCCAGGAGGGAAACAACUUGGAGGCAGAGCUCCUGCUGCUGCUGUUGUUCACCAACGAGUGAGAAUAUGAACCGAGGGCAUUAAUAGGAGGCCCAGAGAACUGGGGUCACAAAAGUCGCCCCACUUGACACUCCUCCUCCUCCUCCUUGGGAACAUGUUUCAACCAUGAAGCACGUGCAGUUCAUUUGCACCAGAACCAGACGAAAGAUCUCUGAAUCCGGACUCCUUCCUAAAUACCUUGUUUUCCCAAGUCAUCUUGUUCUAAGACCGUGAACCUUUGCUUGCGUUAUCUGAGCUGACUUCUAACAGCCGGAAACUUCAAAGAGGAAUAUCUUCCAGGAAGAAAAGGUUUCUCUUUCCGAUGUCACGAGAGGCAAGUUCUCUGAAAGUACUGCAUUUCCCCACCUCAGGGAAAUCAACUUGCGAAGGGAAAUUGAAGCCAAAGGAGGGGCACCUUAUUAAGAAAAUAACUGCUUUGGAUAAGGCAGCCCAUGAAGUCUUCAGAGAAUUCCUGGCUCACAGGGGAGGUGUGAGCUGUCACCAGCCCGUGGAAACAUUUCCAAAAACAUUUGGCUGUCUUAACUAUCCUAAAAGGAAAUAUUUGGUUUGCUGCAGUGCUCGAAGCAAAGGCUUGUGUUCAAAACACUUUCCCAGAGAAAUACCAAUGCUGCCAUCGAAAUCGUUCCUUUAAUUAGCCGGAUGUCACCAGCCCAUGAGCUUCGAUGACUGGAUUCCACUGCGUCGGAUGCUUCAUUAUAUUCUUUGUGCUCUUUAUAAUCGCCCUCUCGCACUGCUUUCAACUUUCUUUGCGGUAAGUAACCACUCACUGGGCUUCAUUCUCCGCGCUCUUUCCACCGACUUAAACUCCCUCCCCCUUCGCCCGAUAGAUCACCGCUCUCCCCAUCUGCCUGGUCCUUCUGAAAAAAAUCACAUCUCCUCCAGGAAGUCUUCCGGGAUUACUCUCAUCUCUCCACUCUGUUAUAGCGUAUCCUUCCAAGCUCUUAAGUCCAGUGCUGGGCACAUAGUAAGCGCUCGGUAAAUUCCACUGAUUGAUGGAUUUCUCGGGCCUUCGCUGUCUGCUUUCCCCGUUAGAUUGUAAGCUCUUUGAGAACAUCGACGGGGUGCGUUGACAACUACUGUGCCCUCCCCAAGCACUUAGUAUGGUGCCGAGCACUCAGAUACUCAUUUGAUUCCCCCCGCUCGACUGAUUGCAAUCAAAUGUGGUGAAAUUAACCCACGGGGUUGGGGCUACCUGAAAAGAUCAGUGUCAGCCAGUCGUAUAUAAGCCACUGUACUAAGCGCUUGGGAGAGUCCACUAUAACGAUAUAACAAACACAUUCCCUGAUAACGAUAUCCCCAACCUCUGCUUCAUGAGGUGGUUUCUUGAGAGCCUCUCCUUCCAGCGCCCACUCUCAACCGGUCGUAAAAUACGGCAUCGCCGAUUAAUAGGCCGGGCCAUAAUGGGCCAAAUAGAAUCUUUAUGGCUCGUCGAAUAAAUAAUCAUUAUUCAAAGGGAAAUAAAUAAAAGCCCUCCCUUCACAGCAAGGGGAAUUGCUAUUUCACGAAUCCACUCGACCCACCACCAGCCCGUCUGGUGGGUGAUGAGGGAGAGCCAAGACGCCCAAGGAAUGCAGUGCGAUUGGUGCGUUCCCACGGUGAACUCGUUCCUGUGAUUCGUCGGGCCGCGCUGGCCGAUCCGCUGCUCUCGGCCUGGCUACCCCGUGGCGUUUCAUGGGGGCUCUGGGCGUUUCCUUCCGUGUGAAAAAUGGAGAGGAAUUAAUUUCCCUUUCACCUCGGGCCAAUGUGUUUUCAG
rnacentral:lncRNA from 1 species